ACACGGGGGGAAGGAGGUGGAGGAGGGAGCAGCGCUGGGUUAUAGGUUGAGGCGCUGCUGCUGCUGUCCCUUUCACUGGCGCACGCGUACCCAGAAACCCCCCUGAUUAACUUAAAAUAUUUUUUUCUGAUCGCGGGUCACGGUCGUAGCUCGUGUCAUUAGACUCCGCCCACUUGCGGCAUUUUACCCGCAAUUCGCGGCCUGUUGGGAGGGGAUGUCAUCAUUCCAGGCAGGAUCCUUAGUGCUGGAGAGAAGAUUCAACGGGCUUCCUAGCCCUGCCAAUAAGAGCCAUAAAAGCAGUCCAGAAGAGGUCUGCUGCCACCUCUGUCUCUGCACAGCUCCAGGUUGAGGAGGGAGAUGUUGCUGGGCCUUCAACCCAGAUCACUCCACCUCAGCGACGCAUCUUGCAAGUGUCAUCCAGAAAGCCAAGCCACAUACUGGAGUCCCCGGAACGCCAGUCUCCUCCUACUCCACAUAUUGCUGGUGACAGUGGCAUGUGAGGAGGACAUUCAAGAGGAACUGCAGCCAGCAGAAGAGGGGGAGCCUGAAAUGGAGGCGAUGUAUACACUCAACUUAACGGCAAUGGGCCUAAUUCAGGCCUGUUCGCUCGCUAGGGUUUUUUUGCAGUCCGCAUAGUCGUCGCCCAUAGGGGAGUGUAUUUUCGCUUUGCAAGUGUGCAAACGCAUGUGUAGCAGAACUGUACAAACAGAUUUUGUGCAGUCUCUGAGUAGCCCUGCAAUUACUCAGCCGCUGCGAUUGCUUCAGCCUGUUCAGGACCAGAAUUGAUUUCAGACACCCUCCCUGCAAAUGCUUGGACACGCCUGCGUUUUUCCAAACACUUCCAGAAAACGGCUUCUUCCUGUCAAUCUCCUUGCAAAUGCCCGUGCAAGUGGAUUCAAUGCACAAACCCAUCGCUGAGCGGCGAUCCGCUUCGUACCCGUGCGAUGCACCUGCGCAUUGCGAUGCAUACGCAUGUGCAGUUUAGACCUGAUCGCAGGCUGUACGAAAACGCAGCCCAGCAAUCAGGUCUGAAUUUGACCCAAUAUCUCCACCUUUUGCUAACACUACCUAUUUUGUGCUCCCCAUUACCAGACAUCAGUACCGCAUCACCUGCAGCACAACUGAUGAGGGGUAUAUAUUUUCCUUCUCUAUUCCCCUCCUUUUCUCUGUCUGAUUCUAUUGCUUGUAUUAUAUUACUAUAUUUCAUAUCUUUGAAGCAAAUGUAUAAUUUUAACCCUUUAGUGAUUUAUAAUAAUUCAUCACUAAUUGUGUACCUUUUAUAAGCAAACCCGCAGAGGUUGCAUCUAAACAUAUAUAUCUUUAAAUCAUUAGGAAUAUUCUGUUCAUAUAAGAAUGCACGCCUGUCAUAUAGAAUGUAAAUCAUAAGAAUGUAUUUCAACAAACAAUUGCUACUCAUAGAAUUCACUUUUAUCAUUAAACAGUAUUGGUCAAAUACAAUGCAAGUCACCAUAUAAUAGUUUCACAGAUUCAAACUAUAUAAGAAACAAAUAGGAUGAAAGAAGUGUGGGAGAUGUAUGUACUGUACUGUAUGUGUGUAUUUAUUACUGGGGCGAUAUUACUCAAAGCACUCAGCUAAAUCCUAGAUUUAUUGAUAUAUAUUGGACAAUAUAUAUAUAUCUUAGAGAAAUACCUUAGGGGAUUGGUUUUGGUUUAUGUUUGUGUGUG